rnacentral:lncRNA from 1 species
CUAUCCAGAAAUCCAUCCAAAGGCAUCCUCUCUUCACCACAGACCUGUAACCUGGGGGCCACAUUGGUCGCUGGCAGACGCGUGGAUGAAGGCUGUUUUAGGUGUGCUGAGGUUUUUGCUGGCCACAUCACUCAGCUCAUAUUUAAUUGAGACCCCAGUAUUUUCUUCCACUUAGUUAUUUAAUUGGGGCGUAAACAGCAAUUAUAAAGUAGCCAUAAAUAUUAACAGCAGCUCUUCUUUGAAAUAACUAUCUCCCAUUCAGACCUUUUUACUUUCAUAAUGGCCAUCAGUCUUCUAAGAGGUACAAAGGGCAGACUCAUCAUGAACAGAGCCAGACACUAAGUGCUUCUUGCUUUGGUACUCUUCUCACCACAUUGUGCUCUCCUCUUGUAGGCUUAGCCUACUCUCCCCUUAGCUUUCUCACUUCACCUUACUGUUUUUCUUCUCCCUUUGCUUUCCUGUCAUUCUUAGUAAAGCUGGUUCCCCCUUUUCUUUUCUGUGUAGGUGAGACUAUCUUCAAUAAAAGACCAUGUGGGCAAAACCACCUUCUGAAUGCACACACACCUGUGGUGCAUUUAUAUGUGAGUGGAAGGAAGAUAAUUGUAAUUGGAGUUUUACAACUUCAGCUGGCUUCAUCCCCAUCAGUUCUCACCACAGUCCCACGCCGCAGACCCUUCGCUGGCUGUUGUGCUUGGAACACGGCUGGGCCCGGCCUCCCGCCUGCAAGGAGCAGCAGCCCGUCAUCAUCAGGCUCAGCGUGGCGGCGCCGGCCAGAUGCGAGCACAGAACUCACGGAGGUAUUAGCUCAAAGCGAGGCAACCCUGCCAAUGCCAGUCUCCCAGAUCUCAUUCACAACCCACGCCAGAUCCAGCCAGCCAGGCGGCGGCAGCGAAGGACGUGCGGGAAGGCAGCGGUGUGACAGCAAGUUCCCCGUGAUUUAUUUCUGCUCUGCUGAGCGGGCUCCCAGCUGAACCGGAGCACGGGAAACUUGCAUCUGUUCGGCGGGCAGGCGUGCGGCUCUGCAGCACGGCGGCAAUUAUGGGAGGCUGCAUGACCAAAGGGAAGCCGGGUUGGUCAGCUCCAUUCAUC